AUCGUCCAGAGCCUUAUCGGUUAAUUUCCUGACAUAAAAAUGUCAACUGGAAACAACAUUGAUGGAGCUCACAGACGAUAUUUUCAAAGAGCGCAUUUCCAAAGACUGGAAGGAUCACCAGCACAACUGCUGCCAGACCGGUGGGGCUGUGGCUGUCCAGGAGGAUGUGUCCAUGUCAACCAUAGACACUCACAGACACCCAAACAGACUCUGUAAAAAAAAAAGCAAAACUCUCCUUUCAACACCGCAGCGACUUGAGCAUGGCUUCUGAUUCUGACCUCAGCAAGUUGUAACGGAGGGGACUGCUAGAAGAAGAGCAGAAAGAAGGGAACACAUUGCUACAACGUCUAGAAACUACGUGUGCAAGGUCAUUAUCAGCUUAUUGCACCCUGAGAGCAGAGACGCCUAGUUUGUGCACAAGUAUAAAGAGUUCUGAAUGGGAAGCACCCAUUCAGAGCUUCUGACAGAGAUCGUUGUAACCUCUCCGGCCGAUAUCAAUAAAGAUCUGUUCAUUUAACUUUGACUUGGAGUCCUUAGGUGUUAAUUUCCACGACAGUCUCUUUUCCAAAUGCGCCCUGUAUGAUACGGUAUAUGGUAAGCACAAAUAAAACAUCACAAAUCAGUUACAUUUUAUAAGUCCCCAAUCAAUACUUUAAACUGUCCGAAUGGCAACA
ensembl:lncRNA